rnacentral:lncRNA from 1 species
AUUUGAUUUGAUGUAUUUAUAUUAAAGUAAUAAUUUUGGUUGGGGUAAAAAAUGAAAAGAUGAUGUUUAAUAUGUUUAUUUACCACCCUGUUAUUUUACCUCAGAAUGUAAUACACUGUUCUAAAUGGAAACCUGACAUUCCUGACACUUAAACAAUAUUCUAAAAACAUAAAGCAUAUGUAAAUAUCAAGAAAUCAAAGUAAUAUUGAAUGAAAAUCUCAAAAUAAUGACAUGGUAAUUCACUUAUUAAUAAUAUAUAUAAACAUGUGUUUGGUUUCUAUGAGUUGAGAAUCGGUUUCCAUAGAGAAUAAAAAGGAUAAGUGAUAUUCUUUUUUCUGAUUUAUGUUACAGAGAUAUCUCACUGUUGCACAAAUUAGCCUAGCCUAGCAUAUUGUUUAACGCAGUAAUAAGAAUAUUCAGUAAUUAAACUUUUUAUAGUUUUAUAAGACAGUGUUGAUGUUCUCUCUGGGCUUUCUCAGUGUCCAGUCCCACAGUGUACAGUCAGCUAGCUGAAGAGAUUAGCAUCUAGUAGGUCCAUCAGAGUGGAGUGUGUGUGUGGGACUGAAGGACUGGGUUCUACUGCUGUUCUCUGGACUAAAUGAAAAUGCUGCUGAUCUGUGGAGUUCUGCUGAUGUUCACAGGAUCUGCUGUGGCUCUGAAUACUGUAGAUGGUCGCUGCUGGAAGUCUGAGCCCUGUGUGUUUUAUGGAGCUCUGGGACGCCCGCUGUACCUUCAGCUGCCUAAAAGAUAUCAGAUAUACUCAUGGAAAAUCGAUGGAAAGUCUGACCUCCCAAUUUUCAAAUUCAAAAACAGAACAAUCAUCAAAAAAUAUCCAGAUCCAAGAUGGCAGUUUGUUUCUGAAAACAGCACCUUGAUAAUAUCCAGAGUAGAGAAGAUCGAUUCAGGAAGUUACUCAUUACUCACCUUUACUUUUAUAGGGAAUUUUGGAAUGUAUUUUUUUGAUCUGAGUCCAGA